rnacentral:misc_RNA from 1 species
GGACAAGAGGGUAAAGAGUUCACAUUUUAAAAAUAAAAUAAUGUAUUUGGUGCUGCGAGGUUGAUGCACAUAAAUAACUGAAGUAAUUGUUAAAAAUGCUGUAGAAAUAUAUUUUGAUUGCUGGUAAAACAUGGAAACUCAGAUUUGAAUGUGGUAUUUGCUUAAUAUGAGUAGUUCUCCUGGGAUAAAAUUUUAUUCGUCUGUUCUACCUGCGGUAGAUGCUAUUUUUUCCACAUGGAUGUGACAUGUUUAGAUGUUGGGACACCUUCCAUAUGGCAAAUAACUGCCUGCCAAUUUGUUAUGUUAGGAUGUGCCAAGUUUUGGUGCUGCUGCCGCAACACUUAGUGUUUUGCUUCUCAUACUCAUGAUGUUAGGAUUAGAGAUAGGAAUAGGAGUUGAUGGUUAGCUUUUCUUUCCAGGAAAGUAGCUGGUUGGGAAGGUGACUAUUUGUACCUCUCAUAAUCUUCUUUCAUUGUAGAAAUUAUUCCCUGUAUCGUGUGUCAUUCUUCCAGUCAUGGUCUUCUCUGUUGUUUAAGUCAUUCUUGUGCUGUCAUGCUUCUAAAAUUUAUAAGAUUAUGGUUUCUGCUAAGAGUGUUACCUUCCAAUAUACU